rnacentral:rRNA from 1 species
GACGAACGCUGGCGGCGUGCUUAACACAUGCAAGUCGAACGGAAAGGCCCUGCUUUUGUGGGUUGCUCGAGUGCCGAACGGGUGAGUAAAACGUGAGUAACCUGCCCUUGACUUUGGGAUAACUUCAGGAAACUGGGGCUAAUACCGGAUAGGAGCUCCUGCUGCAUGGGGGGGGUUGGAAAGUUUCGGCGGUUGGGGCUGGACUCGCGGCUUAUCAGCUGGUUGGUGGGGUAGUGGCUUACAAAGGCUUUGACGGGUAGCCGGCCUGAGAGGGUGACCGGCCACAUUGGGCCUGAGAUACGGCCCAGACGCCUACGGGAGGCAGCAGUGGGGAAUAUUGCAGAAUGGGCGGAAGCCUGAUGCAGCAACGCCGCGUGCGGGAUGACGGCCUUCGGGUUGUAAACCGCUUUCGCCUGUGACGAAGCGUGAGUGACGGUAAUGGGUAAAGAAGCACCGGCUAACUACGUG